CUAUAUACUCCACUCCUUUUUACCUUGAUGGUAUUCCAUGCAGGUUCUUAUACUGCACCCAAGACUGUGGUGUCUGAACACCUCAUACAGCUAAGCACCCAUCAAGAACAAGACCUAAGCCUAGCCUUCAGUGUGGUUUUGCUUGUGCUCCAAGGAGCCGACGGAGAGAGGGAGUGGAGAAGCCGGCUGAAACUAUCCCUGCUGCCCCGGCAGGAUGACCAGCUGAGCUGGGAAAGACAAGGAAGCACGCGCAAGUGACUAGAAAAACAGAAUCUCGCCCUAAUCAGAUGUCCUAUCCUUACAAAAUAAGGUACCAAGCUCCCUGGCAGCAUCAGAGGAAGAUGAAUCAAGUCCACAGAGAGGGUUUACUCUGUAUACCAGUUCUAUCAAAUGGAAUAAACAAUAAAAUCA
rnacentral:lncRNA from 1 species